rnacentral:rRNA from 1 species
UACGUAGGGGGCAAGCGUUAUCCGGAAUCAUUGGGCGUAAAGCGCGUGUAGGCGGUUCCGUAAGUCCGCUCUGAAAGCCCAGGGCUCAACCUUGGAAUUGCCUUUGAUACUGGCUGUCUUGAGUUCGGGAGAGGUGAGUGGAAUGCCGAGUGUAGAGGUGAAAUUCGUAGAUAUUCGGCGGAACACCAGUGGCGAAGGCGACUCACUGGCCCGAUACUGACGCUGAGGCGCGAAAGCGUGGGGAGCAAACAGG